UACAGAGGUGCCAAGCGUUAGGCGGAAUCACUGGGCUUAAAGCGCGUGUAGGCGGGUCGUUAAGUGUCCGAGUGAAAUCCCACGGCUCAACCGUGGAACUGCCGGGCAUACUGGCGAUCUUGAGGCAUUCAGGGGCGAGCGGAACAAAUGGUGGAGCGGUGAAAUGCGUAGAUAUCAUUUGGAGCGCCAAUGGUGAAAACAGCUCGCUGGGAAUGAUCUGACGCUGAGACGCGAAAGCCAGGGGAGCGAACGGG
rnacentral:rRNA from 1 species